ACAGCUUUGGACAAAAGUCUAUAGCCAGUGCAUUCGUAACUCCCCAUGCACAAGAGCUGACUGUGGCUCUGGGAAGACAUUUUACUCAUUUGAUUUCUUUUUUUUUUUUUCUGUAGUCUUCUUGUCCAGUUCUCAGGUGUUUACCACCUCUUAGAAUUUCACCUGUGUGGGUCCUGUGUUUGAGAAAGUCCCAGGACUUGUCAGCUGUAUAGGCCUCAUAAAAGACAGCUCU
rfam:Colius striatus contig72763, whole genome shotgun sequence.